CAGGGCCAGAUUAAGAGCCCAGUGGGCCUGGUGCUGACAAUUAUGAUGGGCCUAAUUACAGAAUCAUAUCGAGAAUUUGAACACAAAAAGAUGUGGAAUAGUGGCGCUAUAUAAUUAGUGAAUUGUGGUUUUAGCUGCUAUAUACACUCCGUGGGUACUCCUUAUAACCCACCAUACAUAAUUAAACACCAAAAAGAACAGAGAAAACUUUGGAUCUAGGUGGAUAUUUAUAUCUCCCAGAUCUUCAGUUCCUCAUGAGUGUAGCGCUAAAUAUAUAGUGAAAUUUUCAGUGAAAGGACAGUGCU